GACGAACGCUGGCGGCGUGCUUAACACAUGCAAGUCGAACGGAAAGGCCCUGCUUUUGUGGGGUGCUCGAGUGGCGAACGGGUGAGUAACACGUGAGUAACCUGCCCUUGACUUUGGGAUAACUUCAGGAAACUGGGGCUAAUACCGGAUAGGAGCUCCUGCUGCAUGGUGGGGGUUGGAAAGUUUCGGCGGUUGGGGAUGGACUCGCGGCUUAUCAGCUUGUUGGUGGGGUAGUGGCUUACCAAGGCCUUGACGGGUAGCCGGCCUGAGAGGGUGACCGGCCACAUUGGGGCUGAGAUGCGGCCCAGACUCCUACGGGAGGCAGCAGUGGGGAAUAUUGCACAAUGGGCGGAAGCCUGAUGCAGCAAAGCCGCGUGCGGGAUGACGGCCUUCGGGUUGUAAACCGCUUUCGCCUGUGACGAAGCGUGAGUGACGGUAAUGGGUAAAGAAGCACCGGCUAACUACGUG
rnacentral:rRNA from 1 species